GACCCAGUGGCGGAUAGUUCGCGCCCGCACCGCGUAUGCACGUCCAGUCGCAUCAGCGGGAGGCCCUGGUUCGACUCCAGGCUGGGUCA